rnacentral:lncRNA from 1 species
UCGUGGUGGUCGGCGUCGGCGGCGGCGGCGAGGAGCGGCGACUCGACGUCGUCGUCAUUCUUCAUGGCUGGGUGGGUUGGUGAAGCUAGGUGGGCGCGCGCCGGCGAGCGCGGCUGGGGGGUGGUGGUGCUUAUGAAGCGAGCGCGCGACACGCGAGGGCGAGGCGAGGAGAGCGCGCGACACGCGAGGGCGAGGCGAGGAGAGCGCGCGGCGUGGCGUGGCGUGGCGCGGCGCGGCGAGG